GAAACACAGAAGCACCCAUACACUCACUCUCUCACCUAUGUACAGUACCACACACCCCCUCUCGAAAAGUUUUUAACUUUAGUGAUUCCUUCAUUUUUAUCUCUCUUCAAGCUAGAAACGACAAUAAUUCUGGAAGCUACUGAGUUUAAAUAGAGGAGAAGAUAUACACACUCCUAGGCCAUUUGCAUUUCAUAGAGUAUUAGAAUUAUGUGUAGGGUUUCUCCAAGAAUUUGAAGGGAGCUCUUAAAAUUUUAAUUAAAAUUCCUCUACUCUUUUUUUUUUUUUUUUUUUUUGUUUUUUGUUUUUAUCAAGAUCACCGGUGUCCAUAUUGAAUUACAAGUUCCAAAAAAGUAGAGCGAGAGAUGGUGAGAGAGAGAAGGUACAAUUAUAAUAAUAGUAAUCAUAAUAAUACAUCAUCAAGGAGCAGAAAUGGAGUUGGAGGUGGUGAUGAUGAUGAUGAAAUGAUGAUGAUGAUGAGCAGUAAGAGUAUGAAGCCUGCAUGGCUAGAAGGAUUGAUGGCAGAGACAUUCUUUGGAGGUUGUGGGGUCCACGAGAGUCGCAGAAAGAAUGAGAAGAACGUCUUUUGCUUGCUCUGUUGCCUUAGUAUCUGCCCUCACUGCCUUCCUUCUCAUCGCUCUCAUCCCCUCCUCCAGGUGAGAAGAUAUGUUUACCAUGAUGUUGUUCGAUUGGGGGAUCUUGAGAAGCUUAUAGACUGUUCUUAUAUUCAGCCCUAUACAAUAAACAGUGCCAAAGUGAUAUUCUUGAAUCAGAGACCACAGUCAAGAUCCUGCAAGGGCUCAUCCAACAAUUGCUUCACUUGCGACAGGAUACUCCAAGAUCCAUUCCAUUUCUGCUCUCUCUCAUGCAAGGUUAAUCACUUGGUGGAUCAAGGGGAUGAUCUCUCAGCUAUUCUUUACAGGAUUGAUGAAUCUGAUUUUGCAUUUUCCCAAUUUGAGGGAUUGAGGAUGGACGGCUCUGAAAUUAUUGAUGAUGAUGGUCAAAUUACCCCGAGCUCCAUUUUUGAGAACCCAUCACAACACAGAGGCUCGUCAUGCUCCAAUGAACCGGAGGUCCUAGGAAAGAAGGAGAAAAAAAGUGGCUUUCUUCCGGGGAAUUUCUUCUCUCUGAGCAGCAGGAGAAAGGGAUCUCCUCAUAGGGCUCCUCUCUCGUAAUUGUCUACAAAAUUCAAGAAGAAAGAAAGAGGGCGGUUUAUAUAUAUAUAUAUAUAUAUAUAUAUAUAUAUAUAAUCGCUAAUCUGUUGUCUUGAGGUUGGCCAUGUUCUAAAUCAAUCAGUAUAGUUAGCUUGCAUGACUCAGAAAUUGCAUGGAAUGUUUAUUUAAGGAUUUACUUCCGUUUUUUUUCUUUGGUAAGCCUUAUUAGGAUAGGAAUUAGCCCGGGCAUUUCCAUUGCUGACUUUAGGUGGUGAUAGAGAGGUUAUACGUCUAUCUGAAAGCUGGCUAGGCUCUUCACUCCAAUUUUGCGUACAUGACUAAGUGUAAAAUUUUCCUUUAUCUUAAGGUCACAAACCUCUCCCCCAACCGAUCAUAUCAGAUUAUCGAACACGAGAACUUUUGACAGUUAGCCAAGAUUCUUAGCUCAAUGCUAGUCCUGGGCAUGGUCUAUCUCUUUGCUGAUUAAGCCAGUCUCGGACAUGUUGAUUUUUCGCCUUGAUUAUUCACUUCUAAAAGAGUACAAAAAUGGUGAAUAGACAUAAAUAAAUUGAGAUGCCCACCUGAGCCUGUCUUGGAGUUUUACUAUUAAAUAGAGCGCUGUAUGAAGUAAUCUUCCUAUUUGGAGCUUGAAGAUUAGUGAUUUUCUCUUGCAAGAGUCAAUUGGCACUGGCUCGAACCUUUGGUGAAGAUUGAAAAGAUUGGUGAUUGACCAGAGAUUGUUGAACAAUUCAUUUAUUGAUAAGUAGGUGGAAUAGAGAUAUUUUGUUCUGACCAACGUUGUUGUGGUCGAAAAGCUUGAUUAUUUGGUCAUAUAAUUGGCCAAUAAUCUUGAUUAGAAUUGUCGGCAUGCCUCCUAGGGCUUGAAGGGUAUGGAGACAUAGCCAAGCAUCGUAUAAUUGAAAAAGAAAUUCAUAGAUGAGACCAAA